rnacentral:SRP_RNA from 1 species
GGAAGGCUUGGACGGCAGCAUACCGUGAACCUGGUCAGGAUCGGAAGAUAGCAGCCAUAAGCAGUCCCUGCUGAGCGUCCAAGCCUACCGGG